GGCCUUUUUGGGGGACUGAAGUGCAUUUUUUCCUAAAAAAUAAACCAAAUCAGCAGCCCCUCUAUUUUCUUCUUUUUCUUUCUACAUGUCAACCUCCCCAUCACUAUUUAUCCUCCAUUUUCCACCAUAGCCACCACCCUCCACCAACUAGCCACCCAAACACCUUUCCCUCCUCCUAACACCGGCGCCACCCUCCUCCCAUUUUAGCUCACCGGAAAACCGAAGGAUUUAAGAAGGAAAGACGUCAUAUUGCUGCCACCUUUAGAACAGCUACUUACUUGCCUUAUUUUGCAAAUCCGACAUCAGAAAUGUACUCCCCACCACCGGAGACGUCAAGAGCAACCUUUUCCUAUAUUUUUUCGUCGUUGAAAACUGUGUCCAAGUCUCGCCGGAGUCUAAGCUCUCCGGCUUCGAUCCGGUGGCUUCCGAUAAUCCAACGGUUUAGCCAGCUCUGACAAGGUGUAGGAGCAACUUGAGGGAGUGGUCAAAACUGUUUCGUUGGCCUUAUAUCCAUUCCCUAACGUCAGUCACGAGUCCACAAAUCAGGUUGUGACAAAGGGCGUUUGUCAUUAAAGUCAACUUUGAUGGAUCCAUUGCUAGAUUGAAAGCUCGUCUUGUUGCUAAAUGAUACGCUUAGACUUAUGGAGUAGAUUAUUAUGAUAUAUUUUCCCCUCUUGCUAAACUGACUUUUGUAAAAUUGUUUAUUUCUAUGGCGGUUGCUUAAUUGGCUUCUACAUUAGUUAGACAUAAAAAAAUAUUUUUCUUUAUGGAGAUCUUCAAGAGGAAGUAUAUAUGGAGCAAUCACCUGGCUUUAUUGUUCUUGAGGAGUUUGAAAAGUUUGCUAGCUUCAUAAGUCUCAGUACGCUUGGUUUGGAAAGUUUAGUCAAACAGAGAAAUUUGGCAUGAAAAAAAUUAAGUCUAAUCAUUUGAUUUUCUUUAA